UUGAGCGCUGGUACGGACUGGUUUUCGGUGAAUUCUGCUCGGCCUCACACGAGCCUAUCAAGGCCCGUCUCUGGAAUAGCCUGUCAUCGAUCGCGCCCUCCAUCGCUCAGCGACCCAAGUGGAGGCCUCAGGACUGCAGUCUGCAUAGUGAAAUGAGGCACAAAAAAGUUAAUUGCCUGAGGCUACACAGCUGAUGAAGAAACAGCUCAGAUUUGACCAAGAUUACAUAAAUAGGAGUUGAGGAAUUGGAACCUACUAUGACUGACUCCAAGUUAAUGCAGUGUUUGUAGUCACUUAUAUAAUGGCCACAGACCAGUACCAGGCCUCAGCCAGGGGUUGGGACCGCAGCCUUUAAGCAUUUGAUAAAAGCUACAGGUGGUCUUCCCAGAAAAACAUACAACAGGAAGUUCUGCCUGCGUUUUUGGAUUCAAAGACCUCCGCAGUUCGUCCAUGGCAGUGUUCAUGUAUAUUCAUGGGUGUUGCUAUGCUUUCCUCUGUACAAGCUGGUGGAGUAUCAAUCCGUUCUUCCU